rnacentral:lncRNA from 1 species
GGAAUUCAAAUACAGUGAGCCAACUUGGACCAUUUAUGUCAGUAAGUCUACAUAGUCUGUUUUACUUUUGUUUUUUGUCCAUUUGCAAUCAUCCCCCUCCCCACCCCAAACUUUUGGUAGCUUUAAUGGACCACUGGAUAUGCUAUUUUCUUCAGCCUCAAUUGUGUGUGAAGGACUGAAGAGGAAUGUGAGGCAGAAGUUAUAAUUCCAAUAAGACAAGAGUGAAGAAAUGCAAAAACAAAAGCUCUUGUUUAUGGAACUGAGUACUCUACAAUUGGAUGAUGCAGUGUGGAUUUUGCAGUUGACACGUGCCAUGUAGCUUAUGACUAGCAGGCAUUGCAAUUUUUUUUGUAGCUAUGUGUCCAACCUGGUUGCGGAUAGGAUAGGAUAAUGCCAUGCUCUUUUAAGAAUCAUAGAACAUGCAUAUAAUAACUGUUUUUUUUGGUUUUCUUCUUUUGUCUUGAGUUUUCAUUUUCACUUUAAUUUUG